rnacentral:rRNA from 1 species
GCAUAUCAAUAAGCGGAGGAAAAGAAACUAACAAGGAUUCCCCUAGUAACGGCGAGCGAAGCGGGAAGAGCUCAAAUUUGAAAGCUGGCACCUCCGGUGUCCGCGUUGUAAUUUCGAGACGUGUUUUCCGCGUGGCGCCAUGGACAAGUUCCCUGGAAUGGGACAUCGUAGAGGGUGAAAAUCCCGUACUUGCCAUGGACGUACCAUGCUUUGCGAUACACGCUCCAAGAGUCGAGUAGUUUGGGAUUGCUGCUCAAAGUGGGUGGUAGACUCCAUCUAAAGCUAAAUAUCGGGGAGAGACCGAUAGCGAACAAGUACCGUGAGGGAAAGAUGAAAAGCACUUUGGAAAGAGAGUUAAAAGUACGUGAAAUUGUCGAAAGGGAAGCACUUGAAGUCAGCCAUGCUGCUUGAGACUCAGCCUGGCUUUUGCUUGGUGUAUUUCUCGGUAGCAAGCCAGCAUUGGUUUGUGUCGUCGGAGAAGCGUAUGGGGAAUGUGGCAUCCUCGGAUGUGUUAUAGCCCUGUGCAGGAUACGACGACGUAGACCAAGGAACGCAGUGUGCCCUCUGGGCGGGUCUUCGGACACCUUCACACUUAGGAUGCUGGCGUAAUGGCUUUAAGUGGCCCGUCUUGAAACACGGACC